rnacentral:rRNA from 1 species
AACGAACGCUGGCGGCAGGCUUAACACAUGCAAGUCGAACGCAUCCUUCGGGGUGAGUGGCAGACGGGUGAGUAACGCGUGGGAACGUGCCCUUCAGUUCGGGAUAACCCAGGGAAACUUGGGCUAAUACCGGAUACGUGCGAGAGCAGAAAGAUUUAUCGCUGAAGGAUCGGCCCGCGUCUGAUUAGCUAGUUGGUGGGGUAAUGGCCCACCAAGGCGACGAUCAGUAGCUGGUCUGAGAGGAUGAUCAGCCACAUUGGGAGUGAGACACGGCCCAAACUCCUGGGGGAGCCAGGGGUGGGAAAUAUUGGAAAAUGGGCGAUCGCCUGCUCCGGCCAUGCCGCGUGGGUGAUGAGGGCCUUAGGGUUGUAAAGCUCUUUCGUCCGGGACGAUAAUGACGGUACCGAAAGAAGAAGCCCCGGCUAACUUCGUCCCAGCAGCCGCAGUAA